rnacentral:rRNA from 1 species
UAAGGAAUAUUGGUCAAUGGACGCAAGUCUGAACCAGCCAUGCCGCGUGGAGGAUUAAGGCCCUCUGGGUUGUAAACUCCUUUUAUCUGGGAAGAAAUGUACUUUUUCUUGAGUACUUGACGGUACCAGAGGAAUAAGCACCGGCUAACUCCGUGCCAGCAGCCGCGGUAAUACGGAGGGUGCAAGCGUUAUCCGGAUUCACUGGGUUUAAAGGGUGCGUAGGUGGGCAGAUAAGUCAGUGGUGAAAUCUUCCGGCUUAACCGGGAAACUGCCGUUGNUACUAUUUGUCUUGAAUAUUGCGGAGGUAAGCGGAAUAUGUCAUGUAGCGGUGAAAUGCUUAGAUAUGACAUAGAACACCAAUUGCGAAGGCAGCUUACUACACAAUCAUUGACACUGAGGCACGAAAGCGUGGGUAGCGAACA